GACGAACGCUGGCGGCGUGCUUAACACAUGCAAGUCGAACGGAAAGGCCCUGCUUUUGUGGGGUGCUCGAGUGGCGAACGGGUGAGUAACACGUGAGUAACCUGCCCUUGACUUUGGGAUAACUUCAGGAAACUGGGGCUAAUACCGGAUAGGAGCUCCUGCUGCAUGGUGGGGGUUGGAAAGUUUCGGCGGUUGGGGAUGGACUCGCGGCUUAUCAGCUUGUUGGUGGGGUAGUGGCUUACCAAGGCUUUGACGGGUAGCCGGCCUGAGAGGGUGACCGGCCACAUUGGGACUGAGAUACGACCCAGACUCCUACUGGAGGCAGCAGUGACGAAUAUUCCACAAUGGGCGGAAGCCUGAUGCAGCAACGCCGCGUGCGGGAUGACGGCCUUCGGGUUGUAAACCGCUUUCGCCUGUGACGAAGCGUGAGUGACGGUAAUGGGUAAAGAAGCACCGGCUAACUACGUG
rnacentral:rRNA from 1 species